CUUGGUGACCUUAGCGUCUGUGACCCACCCGAUCCCAUCUCGAACUCGGCCGUGAAACCGGACAGCGCCGAUGGUACUAUGUCUUAAGGCAUGGAAGAGUAGGUCGUCGCCAGGC
rnacentral:rRNA from 1 species